rnacentral:tRNA from 1 species
GGGCCUGUAGCUCAGUAGGAUAGAGCGACGGAUUCCUAAUCCGCAGGCCGCGCGUUCGAAUCGCGCCAGGGGCACCA